UACGGAGGAUGCAAGCGUUAUCCGGAAUCAUUGGGCUUAAAGGGUCCGUAGGCGGGGCGAUAAGUCAGUGGUGAAAGUCUGCAGCUCAACUGUAGAAUUGCCAUUGAUACUGGUGACCUUGAGUAAUUAUGAAGUGGUUAGAAUAUGUAGUGUAGCGGUGAAAUGCAUAGAUAUUACAUAGAAUACCGAUGGCGAAGGCAGAUCACUAAUAAUUCACUGACGCUGAUGGGCGAAAGCGUAGGUAGCGAACAGG
rnacentral:misc_RNA from 1 species